rnacentral:sRNA from 1 species
CUUCUCAUCGGAUCCUCGCGACUAAUGCGAACCUUAUCUUAACGAAUAAAGUUUCUUAUUGCCUUGCGAACUUCAGCAAUGGAAGAGUUUAUUUGUCGUUCAUCUCCGUUCGGAAAUGACCGACUACAGGAUGAGCGUUGCCUAGAAGAAGGGGGCCCAUACGGCCCCCUUCU